rnacentral:rRNA from 1 species
GUGGGGAAUAUCGGACAAUGGGCGAAAGCCUGAUCCAGCCAUGCCGCGUGUGUGAAGAAGGUCUUCGGAUUGUAAAGCACUUUAAGUUGGGAGGAAGGGCAGUAAGUUAAUACCUUGCUGUUUUGACGUUACCGACAGAAUAAGCACCGGCUAACUUCGUGCUAGCAGCCGCGGUAAUACGAAGGGUGCAAGCGUUAAUCGGAAUUACUGGGCGUAAAGCGCGCGUAGGUGGUUUUGUAAGUUGGAGGUGAAAUCCCCGGGCUCAACCUGGGAACUGCCUCCAAAACUGCAUGACUAGAGGACGGUAGAGGGUAGUGGAAUUUCCUGUGUAGCGGUGAAAUGCGUAGAUAUAGGAAGGAACACCAGUGGCGAAGGCGACUACCUGGACUGAUACUGACACUGAGGUGCGAAAGCGUGGGGAGCAAACAGGAUUAGAUACCCGAGUAGUCC